UAUUCCAUAAGAUAUAGAUACAUAUAGAUUCCAAGCUCAAACACACGUCUGCGUCCUUUUGGAUUGUAGGUGUGCAGCUCAAACUUUAAAGAAAAGAGGGCGGGUCGCAAAUGUAUGAAUCCUACUAUGGCGACUGUGUAUCUCAUGAAUAUUAAUUUUACGUUCUUUGAGAAGGGGAGUGUCCGCUCCUAGCUAAUAUUCACAAGACUUCGGCAGAGCCUGAAUCGUUUAUUUGAUAACUUUUUUUGCCUUUCGUCCAAUCAUCAAGUAGCUUGGCGAACGUCACGGUACGUGAUUAAUAUUCAUGAGCCUGGCCUGGAAGGGCGAUUCCUGUCAGCAGCACGCGCAGCGGCGGUCUCGAGGUGUUGCGCGCGGCCACUCCUCUCAUAAACGUGCUCAGCCUUCAACCGGAAAAACCAGUUAAGCUGAAUGGAAGGAGAAAGACACGGGCUCAACUGCCCUGUAUGAUUUCAUUGUAUGGAAAGCAGCUUGGACAUUCUUCAAGUGUUCUUUUGUGUUCCAUGGAAGAAAGAAGAACAUGAAGGUUUGGAACAACAUGAAGAAACUGGGAAGAAAUGGAUAUUCAGAUUCAGAUAAUUAUUAUCAAUUAUGUUUUUAAAUCUUCUGAAGAAAAUAUGAUUCCUCAUGCAAAACUCACCUCCAAGAUAGGGAAAGUGGUUGCCAAGACAUUACUUGUGGUUGCUAGGUGGUUGCUUUCUGGCUGAAAGUCAUAAAAGUUCACCCUCAAAGUCUCUGUUAUAUUCUGGUCUCUCUCUGUGGCCCUGUUCCCUUCUUAUGUAGGAUUUUUGUCACACAUUUUAUUUUACCGUAAGUCUACAUAUAUUUUACAGUUUAU